CAGUAGCCACGGUAAUACGGAGGGUGCAAGCGUUAAUCGGAAUUACUGGGCGUAAAGCGUGCGUAGGCGGUUCGUUAAGUCUGUUGUGAAAGCCCCGGGCUCAACCUGGGAAUGGCAAUGGAUACUGGCGAGCUAGAGUGUGUCAGAGGAUGGUGGAAUUCCCGGUGUAGCGGUGAAAUGCGUAGAGAUCGGGAGGAACAUCAGUGGCGAAGGCGGCCAUCUGGGACAACACUGACGCUGAGGCACGAAGGCGUGGGGAGCAAACAGGAUUAGAUACCCCGGUAGUCCCUGUCUCUUAUAC
rnacentral:rRNA from 1 species